rnacentral:tRNA from 1 species
UAAAGUGGUUUUACUCAGUUACAUUGAGGUCCUCCCUAUAGGGCACUUUAU